AUGCAGUCGAACGGCAGCGCGAGAGAGCUUGCUCUCUUGGCGGCGAGUGGCGGACGGGUGAGUAAUAUAUCGGAACGUGCCCAGUAGCGGGGGAUAACUACUCGAAAGAGUGGCUAAUACCGCAUACGCCCUACGGGGGAAAGGGGGGGAUCGCAAGACCUCUCACUAUUGGAGCGGCCGAUAUCGGAUUAGCUAGUUGGUGGGGUAAAGGCUCACCAAGGCAACGAUCCGUAGCUGGUUUGAGAGGACGACCAGCCACACUGGGACUGAGACACGGCCCAGACUCCUACGGGAGGCAGCAGUGGGGAAUUUUGGACAAUGGGGGAAACCCUGAUCCAGCCAUCCCGCGUGUAUGAUGAAGGCCUUCGGGUUGUAAAGUACUUUUGGCAGAGAAGAAAAGGUAUCCCCUAAUACGGGAUACUGCUGACGGUAUCUGCAGAAUAAGCACCGGCUAACUACGUGCCAGCAGCCGCGGUAAUACGUAGGGUGCAAGCGUUAAUCGGAAUUACUGGGCGUAAAGCGUGUGUAGGCGGUUCGGAAAGAAAGAUGUGAAAUCCCAGGGCUCAACCUUGGAACUGCAUUUUUAACUGCCGAGCUAGAGUAUGUCAGAGGGGGGUAGAAUUCCACGUGUAGCAGUGAAAUGCGUAGAUAUGUGGAGGAAUACCGAUGGCGAAGGCAGCCCCCUGGGAUAAUACUGACGCUCAGACACGAAAGCGUGGGGGAGCAAACAGGAUUAGAUACCCUGGUAGUCCACGCCCUAAACGAUGUCAACUAGCUGUUGGGGCCGUUAGGCCUUAGUAGCGCAGCUAACGCGUGAAGUUGACCGCCUGGGGAGUACGGUCGCAAGAUUAAAACUCAAGGAAUUGACGGGGACCCCGCACAAGCGGUGGAUGAUG
rnacentral:rRNA from 1 species